rnacentral:lncRNA from 1 species
GAACAGUUUGCAGUAGCUCUAGACCUAAGACAGACACAUGUGCAGGACACAGCCACGGUAAAGGCUGCAGAGAGGCUGCCAUCAAGCCUGUACUUCCUGCUGAUAAGUUAAUCUACGCAGAAUACUCUCAUCUCAGCUUGCAGCACUGAGGAGAAGAGGAAAGGACCAGAGGAGGCAGCAAGCAGCCCUUUUUAGGGCAUGGCCUAGAAUGGACUCUUUCAACUUUGGCACUGAUGACACGUGUGCCAAGUAACUCUUUUGUAACUUGCCGGCCAAUGGGUAGAUGAGGCUGAACCAAUACAUUCUGGGUCUGCAUGUGGAAGAAUGAGGCUUGCAGCCAACGGCCGUCCACCUCUCUGAUGAGGAUCAGGUUGAAGAUUCCACAAGAGAUAGAGAGUUACCAAGGCUGCUGAAACAGCUGGGCUUAAGGAGAGCCUGGGAGAGCCCCAGGAAGGAGCAUCCAGGCCAGGUCUCAUGUCCUCAGAGGUUUGAGAGUAAGAAGAGCUUGUGUUUGUCUUCCUAUCUGCAUGCCUGUUUUAGCAAGUUCUGUCACCCAGAACUGGAGAACAUUCCUGCAUUUCAGACUCUAUUUCCUUUCUUCCAUCAUACCCUGAUUCUGAGGGUCCCUGGCCCAGCUCUGUGGUUUGUGUCUCACAGAGCCUGGAGAUACUUGCCAGAGCACAUGGAAAUUGAAGCCAUGUGGGACUUAACAAGAGAUCAAAUGGUAUCUUAAACAUCCCAGGGCAGCUGCCCUGUCCCCAGAGCCUGGGGCGGCCUCUGUGAAGGGGCCCCUCUUUCCUGGUGUUCUGGGUCCCUCUCCUCCCAGCUCCACUGCAGGUCAGUCUUUUUUUCAUUACAAAUUGCUCGUAAG